UUGCUGAUUUCUGGAUUGUAUGGUAAGAGUAUGUUUAAUUUUGUAAGAAACUUCCAAACUAUCUCCCAAAGUGUCUGCAACAUUUUGCUUUUCUACCAGAAAU
rnacentral:pre_miRNA from 1 species